AUCUGCUGGGUCGCUUUGGGGAGCCUGAGAGUCUGCCUUCUAACAAGUUCCCAGGGAUGCUGCUGCUGCUGCUCGCUGACCACACUUUGGAGCGAGGACUCAGAAGGGAGCCCGCUGCAGAGGAAGUAAGCCCUCGAGAAUUCUGGGCUGUGUUCCUCCAUAUGAGCCUGAAGCUGUCAGAGAGAAUCCAGAAUGGGGCAUUUCUCGAAUGAUGAGAAGGGCUACGCCUCCCUUCUCAUGCUUAUCCGCCAUCUGCAGCUCGUGACACCGGUUUUCUAGCAGCACCCUGGCUGCCAGCUCGGUGCAUCAAUGAGGAGGUGAGCCAUCCAGGCUUCGCAGGAGGAGGCCUUUCUUGCGGGAGGAACACCAAUCACAUUUCUCUGGCACAACCCAACCAAAAGGAGGAAAGGCUACUGAGAUGGGCGCCCAGCUGUCAACCUUUGAGAGACGUCCCAGAAGAGCUGCGAGCCUGAGCCUAGAGUCUCUCCCUCUCAGAACCUCCUGGAGGAGGAGGACUCAGAGCCUCCAUCCCAGCAACUACAGGCCACCAGGUCAAGGGGCAGCGAGUCCCUCAGCAACCUUGACCUCUCCGAGGGGCCCCUGGAGGCCUUGGAGUACCUGCCCUUCUUCCGCACCUAUGGGCAGCUCCUGGCUGAGGAGGAGUUGACCCCAAGGACUGAGAUUUGCAGGGACCGAGGAGGAGACCAGAGGAUCAGAGAGGCACCGUGCCUGGAGGACUCAGGGCCAGCCAGUGGCUUCUUCCCUUACUACCGCUCCAAGGAGGAGAGUUUCCCCAGCCUGACUCUUCCUGACAGCUUAUGUGCAGGCUCCUGUGACCCACCCAUCAGGAUGGAGGCGCAGGCUCGCUGCUGCUGCUGCUGCUGCAGGAUGACAGUCAGCGACAAGUGUUCUGUGAGUCGGGGAGGCCACAGAGGGUGCAGGGAGCAACACCGGGGGUCCUGGCAUCCUUCAGAUCUCUGUCCCAGGGUCCCAGGCCCAGGAGGCUUGACCAGGCCACCCAAGGUCAGCUGGGGGGUCGGAGGAGGGGGGGCCUCCCAGAGCAGUGUGUCAUUGCUUAGAGCACAGAGGCUGGAGGCAGACUGCCUCACUCAGUCCCACCUUGGUCACUGGCUCUGGGCACCGCCUGGGGAAUGUGUUUAGACCUCAAGGGCACUAAUUUCUUAUGAAAGAUAACAGUAGUAGCUCCUGUCAGAGCCAUUGUGAGAGUGACAUACAAUAGUGCAAUUAUUAUUCCAGGCUUGGCCUGGAGUUCCCCUACAGAAACAUUUGCAUAAUCCUUAGGCUCCCAGGAAAUGCUUCACAUGCAUCACUUCAUUUAUCCUAAUAAUAGUCCUAUGAGAUAGGUCUUGUUAUCAUUCCCAUUUGAUGAAUGAGAAAAAUGAGCCUCAGAGAAGUUAAGCGACUUGGCCAAAGACAUCGCUGGCAAGAGCAAACCUGGGAUUGGACCCAAAGUCCGGGUCCUCUAAUGUUACUAACAGCCACCUCCAGCACCCGAAGCUGGCACUGUGCCCUGUGACUGCAGACAUGGAGGGGGCGGGUUGAGUGCUGUCUAAUCCCAGACACAUCCUCCCAGCUGGGAGCCCUGGGGUUGGGAGUGAGUGACUGAGUGCAUCCCGCCAGUAGAACAGGCACCAACGCCAUUCUUGCUCCCACUGCAGAGUGGAGGCCGAGGCCAAUCCUGGGUGUCAGGCCGAACCUGCGAGCCUGGCUAACCAUCUUGUCUCCUUCCCACCCAGACUGGCCUGGCCGACCCAGACCUCCGCUCCGGGUGCUCUCCCUCACCAACCUGCUGCCCCAUCCUGCUGGUCUCAGCAGGGCACUCCCGUGACUGUGGCCUGGACUUCCCUCUCUCCAGCGAUGGUGCCUUUAGGGGCCAGGCCCUUCAUGCUUCGGGGUUUGUGCCUUACUACAGAACCCCUGAGGAGGGGCUGCACACGAGCCCUGGGCCUCCCAUCUCUCCAGCGUGGGGCCAGGAGCCCACGGGGAAGCUGCCUGGGCCUGGUGCAGCUUCACCGUGAGGGAGCAGGAGCUGGUGGUGGGCAGGAACCACCAGAGGACAGCCCCCAGUACCCACUGAUCAGCGAGGGGUGAAGAUGGCUGGGGGCGAAGUUCCCAGAGCUCAGCUCACCGUGGGGCUGAAGCUUCUUGGGACUACAGCUCUCAGACCUUCAUUUUCCCUGGUCUACUGCCCACAACCUGCAGGGCUGGCAGGAGGACCUCAAGCCCUGGCAGCUCUCCCUUUGGGCUAGAAAGCAGACCUUGCACCCUGCUGGUGGGCCAGUCUACCUGGCAUCUGACUUAGCGGAGGAAUGGUUCAGCUGGCUCCCCACAUUCAGCCACACCCCCAGGAAGGGACCCUCCCAUCUUGGGGCUGAUCCCGCUCUUCCAGCUGGAAAACCGGCCCAGUGAAGAGCAGGUGCCCCCAAAGUGCCUCCAGAAAGGGGAAGGAAUCGGGUUUGCCCGAACAACUGAGAAGUGCAGAGACCAGAGACUGGCUUAUAAAUAAAUCACUCUGCUACCAGGGUUGGAGUUGGCGC
ensembl:lncRNA